rnacentral:rRNA from 1 species
ACGAACGCUGGCGGCGUGCUUAACACAUGCAAGUCGAACGGAAAGGCCCUGCUUUUGUGGGGUGCUCGAGUGGCGAACGGGUGAGUAACACGUGAGUAACCUGCCCUUGACUUUGGGAUAACUUCAGGAAACUGGGGCUAAUACCGGAUAGGAGCUCCUGCUGCAUGGUGGGGGUUGGAAAGUUUCGGCGGUUGGGGAUGGACUCGCGGCUUAUCAGCUUGUUGGUGGGGUAGUGGCUUACCAAGGCUUUGACGGGUAGCCGGCCUGAGAGGGUGACCGGCCACAUUGGGACUGAGAUACGGCCCAGACUCCUACGGGAGGCAGCAGUGGGGAAUAUUGCACAAUGGGCGGAAGCCUGAUGCAGCAACGCCGCGUGCGGGAUGACGGCCUUCGGGUUGUAAACCGCUUUCGCCUGUAACGAAGCGUGAGUGACGGUAAUGGGUAAAGAAGCACCGGCUAACUACGUG